AGCAGCCAAUGGGAGCCCAGGAGGCGGGGCGCCUGUGGGAGUCGUGGAGGGAACUUUCCCAGGCCCCGAGGCGGAUCGGGUAUUGAGUCCAUGGAGCGAGCUGAGAGCUAGAGUACAGAACCUGCUAAGGCCAUCAAACCUAUCGAUCGGAAGUCAGUCCAUCAGAUUUGCUCUGGGCCGGUGGUACUGAGUCUAAGCACUGCGGUGAAGGAGUUAGUAGAAAACAGUCUGGAUGCUGGUGCCACCAAUAUUGAUCUAAAGCUUAAGGACUAUGGAGUGGAUCUCAUUGAAGUUUCAGACAAUGGAUGUGGGGUAGAAGAAGAAAACUUUGAAGGCUUAAACGUGCCUGUUUCCCCUUCGCCUUCUGCCGUGAUUGUCAGUUUCCUGAGGCCUCCCCAGCCAUGCUUCCUGUACAGCCUGCAGAACUGAUGGCCGUAUAAGAAAAUAAACAACUUGCUAAAACUGCUGAAACUCCCUCUGCUUGUGAGAUUUAAAAAAACUGGCUGAAAUUGGUUGGAACCAACAUGUCCAAUGGAGUCUGAAUAGAAAGAGCUUGCUGACAUCACAGCCCGAAUUUCCACCACAUUUCAUACUAACUCCCCCUGAAUUUGCAUAUGCAAACCACAAGCAAGCAUGAUCAAACAGACAACUGCGCGUGUCCGAGGACUUUCCAGAUCUCCCCUUUCCUUCCACCAAUCACUUACUAAUCUGAGAAUCCAUCCCCUAAUAAAAUCACUGCCUUAAAGCCUGCACAGGAAGACAAAUUUGA
ensembl:lncRNA PMS2P4 PMS1 homolog 2, mismatch repair system component pseudogene 4